rnacentral:rRNA from 1 species
UAAUACGGAGGGUGCAAGCGUUAAUCGGAAUUACUGGGCGUAAAGCGUACGCAGGCUGUCAAGUCAGUCAGAUGUGAAAGCCCCGGGCUUAACCUGGGAACUGCAUUUGAUACUGCUUGACUAGAAUCUGGUAGAGGGUAGUGGAAUUCCAUGUGUAGCGGUGAAAUGCGUAGAUAUGUGGAGGAACAUCAGUGGCGAAGGCGGCUACCUGGACCAAGAUUGACGCUGAGGUACGAAAGCGUGGGGAGCGAACAGGAUUAGAUACCCUGGUAGUCCACGCCGUAAACGAUGUCAACUAGUCGUUGGGUUCUUUAAUGAACUUAGUGACGCAGCUAACGCAGUAAGUUGACCGCCUGGGGAGUACGGCCGCAAGGCUA